rnacentral:rRNA from 1 species
GCGUGGGAGAAGGCUUGGUCGUAAUCUUGUGAGAGACGUUCCUAGCAGCACCGGUAACUUUGCCACGCCCGGACAGGUGCAACUUGUCGGAAUUACUGGGCGUAGCGUAGGCGUAAGUCGGUGAAAUCCCAGCUACCAGAAUGCACUGAGCUGAGUAUGAGGUGUGGAAUCUGUGUAAGGUAAAUUCGUAAUAUAGAGAACACCGUGCAAGGACUGCCGCGGGGAGCAAACAGGAUUAGAUACCCUGGUAGUCCGCGCCGUAACGAUGUGCUAGUGUCUGCUAUAACGCAUUAAGACGCCUGGGAUCGGCCGCAAGGCAAAAAGGAUGACGGGCGCAAGCGGUGGAUGGGUUAAUUCAACAGAACUCGCUGAAGUAUGGUGAUGC